rnacentral:lncRNA from 1 species
CAAAUUAAGCUAGAAAAAUGUGUAAAUAAACAGUAAUAAAUAUAAUAAAAAUGUGGCUAAAUUAUGCUUGAUCAUUUGUGCUAUGUGAUGUAUGUGAUGUGGGUUCAUGUGGAAAUGCUGCUAAUGUUAUGUGUGUAUGUGUUGUGUUUCAGAAAACAGAAUGCGAGGCACUCGUCGAUCUGCACGAUUGACUGGAGUCCCACCAGAGAAUGAGGGCAUGGAUGCCCGUCCCCCUGCAUUGCUAAGGGCAAUGUCAUGUAGAUCAAGCAGAGGAGGAACAUCAAGGGACCCUAGAAGGUCUUUUGAUGUGAGUCGGAG